AUUUGCUUUGCCCAAGCCGGUGUCUCCAAGGCUAAAAAGGACAGCCUGCUGAGGAGAAGCAGUACCAAGAGGUUCUAUCUGUGAUCGAUAAGAAGCUCUUCCAGGGCUGCCGCAGAAUGGAACAACAAAGAGGAGCCGGCCUUUGAUUGUACUAUUUGAGCUGCUGUUUAUGCCUGCUAUAACUAAGGGGAAGAGGUCAAGAGAUGGCUGAGCAUGCAUGAAAGGAAAAAGGGAGUGAGAACAGAGCAAACGUCUUGAUUGACUCAAUUUCUGAAGUGGUCCAUGCAGAUCAAGGCUGAAGAACAAUAAGAAGACAUUAUGGAAGGAAGACUUUCAUGUUGGUACCCACAUGGGUACAUGUUCUCUUGAUAAACAGCAU